rnacentral:rRNA from 1 species
UGUGGCUGGGGGUGAAAGGCCAAUCAAACCGGGAGAUAGCUGGUUCUCCCCGAAAUCUAUUUAGGUAGAGCCUUGAGCGGACACCUUCGGGGGUAGAGCACUGUUUCGGCUAGGGGUCCAUCCCGGAUUACCAACCCGAUGCAAACUACGAAUACCGAAGAGUGAUACUCAGGAGACACACGGCGGGUGCUAACGUCCGUCGUGGAGAGGGAAACAACCCAGACCGCCAGCUAAGGUCCCAAAGUCUAUAUUAAGUGGGAAACGAAGUGGGAAGGCUUAGACAGCUAGGAUGUUGGCUUAGAAGCAGCCAUCAUUUAAAGAAAGCGUAAUAGCUCACUAGUCGAGUCGGCCUGCGCGGAAGAUGUAACGGGGCUCAAAUAUAGCACCGAAGCUGCGGCAUCAGUAGCAAUACUGUUGGGUAGGGGAGCGUUCUGUAAGCGGAUGAAGGUGGCUCGAGAGGGCUGCUGGACGUAUCAGAAGUGCGAAUGCUGACAUAAGUAACGAUAAAACGGGUGAAAAACCCGUUCGCCGGAAGACCAAGGGUUCCUGUCCAACGUUAAUCGGGGCAGGGUGAGUCGGCCCCUAAGGCGAGGCUGAAAAGCGUAGUCGAUGGGAAACGGGUUAAUAUUCCCGUACUUGGAUAAACUGCGAUGUGGGGACGGAGCAGGUUAGGUUAUCGCACUGUUGGAUAUGUGCGUUUAAGUUGGUAGGUGAGAAGUUUAGGCAAAUCCGGACUUCUUUAACACCGAGAGAUGAUGACGAGGCUCUACGGAGCUGAAGUAACCGAUACCACACUUCCAGGAAAAGCCACUAAGCUUCAGGUUUAUCUAAACCGUACUGAAAACCGACACAGGUGGUCAGGUAGAGAAUACUCAGGCGCUUGAGAGAACUCGGGUGAAGGAACUAGGCAAAAUAGCACCGUAACUUCGGGAGAAGGUGCGCCGGCGUAGAUUGUAGUCCCUUGCGGGCGAAGGUUGAACCGGUCGAAGAUACCAGCUGGCUGCAACUGUUUAUUAAAAACACAGCACUCUGCAAACACGAAAGUGGACGUAUAGGGUGUGAUGCCUGCCCGGUGCUGGAAGGUUAAUUGAUGGUGUAAUCGAAAGAGAAGCUCCUGAUCGAAGCCCCAGUAAACGGCGGCCGUAACUAUAACGGUCCUAAGGUAGCGAAAUUCCUUGUCGGGU